AGGAGCCUUUCCCACGGGGAAAGCCCUUUCCAUCCUGGACCUCAG
rnacentral:rRNA from 1 species